rnacentral:rRNA from 1 species
UACGGAGGGGGCGAGCGUUGUUCGGAAUCACUGGGUGUAAAGGGUGUGUAGGUGGCGCCGUAAGUCGGGUGUGAAAUUUCGGAGCUUAACUCCGAAACUGCAUUCGAUACUGCGGUGCUUGAGGACUGGAGAGGAGACUGGAAUUCAUGGUGUAGCAGUGAAAUGCGCAGAUAUCAGGAGGAACACCGGUGGCGAAGGCGGGUCUCUGGGCCGUAACUGACGCUGAGGAGCGAAAGCGUGGGGAGCGAACAGG